CCUACGGGGGGCAGCAGUGGGGAAUAUUGCACAAUGGGGGAAACCCUGAUGCAGCGACGCCGCGUGAGCGAUGAAGUAUUUCGGUAUGUAAAGCUCUAUCAGCAGGGAAGAAAAUGACGGUACCUGACUAAGAAGCCCCGGCUAACUACGUGCCAGCAGCCGCGGUAAUACGUAGGGGGCAAGCGUUAUCCGGAUUUACUGGGUGUAAAGGGAGCGUAGACGGCGGCGCAAGCCAGAUGUGAAAGCCCGGGGCUCAACUCCGGGACUGCAUUUGGAACUGUGCUGCUAGAGUGUCGGAGAGGCAG
rnacentral:rRNA from 1 species